AUGGAGAGUUUGAUCCUGGCUCAGGAUGAACGCUAGCGGCAGGCCUAACACAUGCAAGUCGAGGGGUAACAGAAAAGCUUGCUUUUGCUGACGACCGGCGCACGGGUGCGUAACGCGUAUGCAACCUACCUCAUACUGGAGGAUAGCCCCUGGAAACGGGGAUUAAUACUCCAUAGUAUCACAAUUUCGCAUGUUAUUGUGAUUAAAGUUUUUCGGUAUGAGAUGGGCAUGCGUCCCAUUAGCUUGUUGGUGAGGUAACGGCUCACCAAGGCAACGAUGGGUAGGGGGCCUGAGAGGGUGGUCCCCCACACUGGUACUGAGACACGGACCAGACUCCUACGGGAGGCAGCAGUGAGGAAUAUUGGUCAAUGGAGGAAACUCUGAACCAGCCAUGCCGCGUGAAGGAUGACGGCCCUAUGGGUUGUAAACUUCUUUUAUAGAGGAAGAAACUUGUCUACGUGUAGACAACUGACGGUACUCUACGAAUAAGGAUCGGC
rnacentral:rRNA from 1 species